ensembl:lncRNA
GGAAGAGGGUGAGGAGGUGGAAGAGGGUGAGGGAGGAAGAGGGUGAGGAGGUGGAAGAGGGUGAGGGAGGAAGAGGGUGAGGAGGUGGAAGAGGGUGAGGGAGGGAAGAGAGUGAGGGAGGUGAAAGAGGGUGAGGAGGUGGAAGAGGGUGAGGGAGGUGGAAGAGUGUGAGGAGGUGGAAGAGGGUGAGGGAGGUGGAAGAGAGUGAGGAGGUGGAAGAGGGUGAGGGAGGGAAGAGGGUGAGGAGGUGGAAGAGGGUGAGGGAGGGAAGAGGGUGAGGGAGGUGGAAGAGGGUGAGGAGGUGGAAGAUGGUGAGGGAGGUGGAAGAGGGUGAGGGAGGGAAGAGGGUUAGGGGGUGGAAGAGGGUGAGGGAGGGAAGAGAGUGAAGGAGGGAAGAGAGUGAGGAGGUGGAAGAGGGUGAGGGAGGGAAGAAGGUGGGGGAGGUGGAAGAGGGUGAGGGAGGGAAGAGAGUGAGGAGGUGGAAGAGGGUGAGGGAGGGAAGAGGGUGAGGAGGUGGAAGAGGGUGAGGGAGGGAAGAGGGUGAGGGAGGGAAGAGAGUGAGGGAGGGAAGAGGGUGAAGAGGUGGAAGAGGGUGAGGGAGGGAAGAGAGUGAGGGAGGGAAGAAGGUGAGGGAUGGAAGAGGGUGAGGGAGGGAAGAGAGUGAGGGAGGGAAGAGAGUGAGCUUGAAUUGGUUGAAGAUGGCAAAAACCAAUUGGAGAUGGUUUGUUAAAGAAGAAUGGUAGAAAGCAUAAGCAGAGUGAGCCGUAAGCCGGAUCGAAGACAGGUGGAGAAAUGGAAGGGAAUUAGUGCGAAUUAUAGGAGGUGGCCGGUGUGGUGAACUUCUCGGAGCCCGAGGCUUGAUGGUCAGGAUAAAGAUGAGUCUGUGAUGGUAGGAGUGAUAUAAUGAUGGUCAGGGUAAAGAUGAGUCUGUGAUGGUAGGAGUGAUAUAAUGAUGGUCAGGGUAAAGAUGAGUCUGUGAUGGUAGGAGUGAUAUAAUGAUGGUCAGGAUAAAGAUGAGUCUGUGAUGGUAGGAGUGAUAUAAUGAUGGUCAGGAUAAAGAUGAGUUGUGAUGGUAGGAGUGAUAUAAUGAUGGUCAG